UAUUAUGUUUUCAUCAUCCUCAACCGAAUAAUUAAACAAAGAAAGGGUUUUGGAACCUUUAACAUUCGGCCAUGGCUUUCUAAGGGAUUUAGAUCAAUUCAAAUGAAUUCAAGAUUUUGAUCGAGGAAAAAUCGGAAAGUAGAUGAAUAGUCGACGGAUACACGAGGUAAGUUCGUAUGGUUAAAAAAAUUAUAUGAUAUAAGAAAUGAUGGGUAAUCGGCCAAAUUGUAAGUAUGUAAUGGUAGAUAUGUUAAAUGGCUUUGUACUUGAUUAUAUUAAUAUUACAUGAUGAUGGAAUGCCAUAAUAUAUAUUCGGUCUUGUGUUUGAAAGUAAUGAAGUACUUUGUGGUUGAGUAAAUGUAUAUUGGAGUUAAUUGAGCUUUAAUAUAUGAUAAAUUAAAUGCCUUGUAUGUGGUAAGUUUCUAAGGAA